UUUCGGAAACUAAAUAAUUUCGUGGUUGUGAUGUCAAGUCAAAAUGCAGCUUAUGAAGAAGGUUGUAAAGUGAGCUACAAUUUAUAUUUUUUAAUCGGAUCAGGAAGUGUAAUUUUUCUGUGAAGGUGGACUUGGUAGUAAUAAGAGUUUUGUAAAUAGUGAGUUCUUAUGAAUUGGGUUUUAUAAUGCGUACAUAUCGCCCGUCGCUCUUGUUGGAAAAUAAGAUAAGUCGUAACAUAGUAGGGGUAGUGGAAGCUGUUCCUGGAGUGAUA
rnacentral:rRNA from 1 species